rnacentral:rRNA from 1 species
AUUGAACGCUGGCGGCAUGCUUUACACAUGCAAGUCGAACGGCAGCACGGGGGCAACCCUGGUGGCGAGUGGCGAACGGGUGAGUAAUAUAUCGGAACGUACCCGGAAAUGGGGGAUAACGUAGCGAAAGUUACGCUAAUACCGCAUAUGCCCUGAGGGGGAAAGCGGGGGAUUCGCAAGAACCUCGCGUUUUCGGAGCGGCCGAUAUCGGAUUAGCUAGUAGGUGAGGUAAAGGCUCACCUAGGCGACGAUCCGUAGCUGGUCUGAGAGGACGACCAGCCACACUGGAACUGAGACACGGUCCAGACUCCUACGGGAGGCAGCAGUGGGGAAUUUUGGACAAUGGGCGCAAGCCUGAUCCAGCCAUGCCGCGUGAGUGAAGAAGGCCUUCGGGUUGUAAAGCUCUUUCAGCCGGAAAGAAAACGCACAGGUUAAUAACCCGUGCGGAUGACGGUACCGGAAGAAGAAGCACCGGCUAACUACGUG